CUGGAACUGCAGGAACAUCUGCCUGAGGCUGGUGACGUUGAUGCAUGCCAGAACUGCCUGAGGAGAGAUAAAGGAUGAGCACUCUCGAGAAUAUUAGUGGUGGCAAGAGUGGCUGAGCUGGGAAAGCAGUUGAAAAAGGAGGACACUGUGUUGGAGACACCAUGGGCCAGCAGCUCCUAUCAUCAAACAUACGUUCAACACAAAAAGUUAAGAAACUGGAAAAGUGUGCAAGGCAGGCAUUCGUGGCCCUGGGAAUCUGAGGAGGACAGAGUUAAGUCAAACUACUGGAGGGAUCGGGGUACGCAGGCGCUCACGGCAACGCACGUUGAUCUCUUUAACUGGGACCAGGACAGCCAAACACACCAC